rnacentral:rRNA from 1 species
GGUUGAUCCUGCCGGAGGCCAUUGCUAUCGGAGUCCGACUUAGCCAUGCUAGUUGCGCGGGUUCAGCCCCGCAGCGUAUAGCUCAGUAACACGUGGCCAAACUACCCUAUGGACAGGGACAACCUCGGGAAACUGAGGCUAAUCCCUGAUACAGCUCUCAUGCUGGAGUGCCGAGAGCUGGAAACGCCCCGGCGCCAUAGGAUGUGGCUGCGGCCGAUUAGGUAGAUGGUGGGGUAACGGCCCACCAUGCCGAUAAUCGGUACGGGUUGUGAGAGCAAGAGCCCGGAGACGGAAUCUGAGACAAGAUUCCGGGCCCUACGGGGCGCAGCAGGCGCGAAACCUUUACACUGCACGACAGUGCGAUAAGGGGACUCCGAGUGCGAGGGCAUAUAGUCCUCGCUUUUCUGUACCGUAGGGAGGUACAGGAACAAGUACUGGGCAAGACCGGUGCCAGCCGCCGCGGUAAUACCGGCAGCACAAGUGAUGGCCGAUAUUAUUGGGCCUAAAGCGUCCGUAGCCGGCCGGACAAGUCCGUUGGGAAAUCCACGCGCUCAACGCGUGGGCGUCCAGCGGAAACUGUCCGGCUUGGGGCCGGAAGACCUGAGGGGUACGUCCGGGGUAGGAGUGAAAUCCUGUAAUCCUGGACGGACCACCGGUGGCGAAAGCGCCUCAGGAAGACGGACCCGACGGUGAGGGACGAAAGCUAGGGUCUCAAACCGGAUUAGAUACCCGGGUAGUCCUAGCCGUAAACAAUGCUCGCUAGGUGUGCCGCAGGCUACGAGCCUGCGCUGUGCCCUAGGGAAGCCGAGAAGCGAGCCGCCUGGGAAGUACGUCUGCAAGGAUGAAACUUAAAGGAAUUGGCGGGGGAGCACUACAACCGGAGGAGCCUGCGGUUUAAUUGGACUCAACGCCGGACAUCUCACCGGCACCGACAGUAGUUAUGACGGUCAGGUU